GGCCAAUGAGAUGCGAUCUGUGUUCGUAUGCUCUUCUUAGAGAGACUGACUACGUUUAGUGGUCGGAAGUUUGAGGCAAUAACAGGUCUGUGAUGCCCUUAGAUGUUCUGGGCUGCACGCGCGCUACACUGACAGAGGCAGCGAGUAUACAACCUUGACCGGAAGGUCUGGGCAAUCUUUUUAAACUCUGUCGUGCUGGGGAUAGAGCAUUGCAAUUAUUGCUCUUCAACGAGGAAUUCCUAGUAAGCGCAUGUCAUCAGCAUGCGUUGAUUACGUCCCUGCCCUUUGUACACACCGCCCGUCGCUACUACCAUGGAAAUGGCAAA
rnacentral:rRNA from 1 species